UGAGGAAUAUUGGGCAAUGGGCGGAAGCCUGACCCAGCCAUGCCGCGUGCAGGAAGACAGCCCUAUGGGUCGUAAACUGCUUUUUUAGAGGAAGAAUAAAGUCUACGUGUAGACCGAUGACGGUACUUUAAGAAAAAGCAUCGGCUAACUCCGUGCCAGCAGCCGCGGUAAUACGGAGGAUGCAAGCGUUAUCCGGAAUUAUUGGGUUUAAAGGGUGCGUAGGCGGUUUGAUAAGUUAGAGGUGAAAUACCGGGGCUCAACUCCGGAACUGCCUCUAAUACUGUUGAACUAGAGAGUAGUUGCGGUAGGCGGAAUGUAUGGUGUAGCGGUGAAAUGCUUAGAGAUCAUACAGAACACCGAUUGCGAAGGCAGCUUACCAAACUAUAUCUGACGUUGAGGCACGAAAGCGUGGGUAUCGAACAGGAUUAGAUACCC
rnacentral:rRNA from 1 species